rnacentral:lncRNA from 10 species
CUCCCACUUAGAGGAUGGAAUGGCAGCUUGGAGGUGCUGGCAGCCAUCGUGCCACCCUGAAGGAAGAGCCUGGGAAUAGAGAACACAAAGGAACGCAGAGCCAAGCAAUGGAGAGAGAAAGAUCAACAUUUUUAUAUUGAGGACUGAUUAUAUUUUGUAUAAAUGAAAUAUUUUUAUCCUGACAAUAUUUUUAGAGUGACCUGGAUCCAACCAGACCUGAAGUAUCACCCAAACUUAUGCAUUCUGGCUCUGACAAAUCACCUGUUGUAGUGGUGAUUUGAGGCAGCUUGAAUUAAUUUUUUUCUGUCACUUGCUCCCAAAAGGGUUCUCUCUGAUGGAGGGGGCUCUGUUAAGUGUAAGAUUGUUCCCUCUCCUGUGAAAUCUCAAAUCUCAGGUGAUCUGGUGGAAGGAAAUCAUUUUAAAAGAAACAAGAGGGGAUCCAUUAACAUCUCAAGGAGUUCCCCAAAAAGGAUUGUGUGGAACUCAUGAAGAUAACUCGUGCUUCUUAAGACAUUUGAAACUGGGCAGGGAAUUCGCCAAUCAUGCUGACGUGAUUCUAGAAGAAGGAGGCAGAUUAGCAUCGGGCAGGUGAGAAAGCGGCUGGUGCCAGGGGGACUCCUGCAGGCUCGAAGGCUGUCACGCUGGUUCCCAGAGCCAAGAGGGUGACCGAGCCCCUGCCCCAGAUGCUGCAGAGAUGAGGCACAGCUCAGGCUCUGACUUGGCUAGAGUCUAAGGAGGUUCUGCUCAUGGCAGAUGACCAGAAUGCAAUAAACCAAGCCAAACCAAGCCCUGCCAAUUUCCUGUCUGACCAAAGCAAGUCAUGUGGCUAAGCCCAACAUCAGUGGGGCAGGGAAGUACACACCACCCACGUGGAACGGAGAGGGAAAUGAACACUGGCUGAACAACAGUCCAC